GUGUAUGUGUGUGGGGGUACGAUUGAGAGAGAGACCAGGGAGAAACCCUUCUCCUCAAAACCUAGCAAGAAAUCAUCAAAUUGAAGGGCAAUAGGGCUGAAAUCUUAUGCAUGAGUUAAGAACUAAGAUCACCUAAGUGUUCUUGACAUCAAAAAGUUAAAUGCGAAAUUGUAGGCGUAAAGGAGGAAGGUACAAGCCUAACCGGUUCACAAGCAACGCAAAACAAAGGUGAAUCUCACUCUUGAUAAUGGCGAGCUUGGAUCGAACACACCACAUCGUUCUUUAUGCGCUUCCGGUUUAGUCGUCUUUGUAGAUGGGUCAAAACACUUUCAUAAUGUAAAUGUUAAGUUUAUGUCUAAGAUGUUUCGUAAGUAAAUUAGGAUUUUAAAUCUUAUUUUUGGUAGUUCGGACAAAACAUUUUUGAUGGAAUCUUGUAUGGUUACAACUUAUGUGUCUUUUGAAACGUGUUAUAGAAUUUUAAUUUGAAUGGUGAUUGUUAAAAACAGGGAAUUGCAUAUAGUACGAACGGGUCAUGCCCUUUUUUGUUAAAAAUUAGUAUGUGGUUACUAUUAUUUUCGAAUGUGAAAAAGUGGGCGUUACAUUUGUUUGUUUUCUUAUAGUUAUCUUCUGCACCAAAAGGUCAACUCGGACCCAAGAAGGUUGACAAUACUGUCCCCAGCUCUGUGCCAAAUGAUGUUGAUGAUCUUGAAAAGAGAUUUGCUUCUCUUCGACGCAUUGGAUAUGUGAGACAUUGCAUCCUGACGAGGACCAGAAGUCUUUUGUGUAUAGUCUUGUAUCGUCUUUAUAAAUGUUAGUAGGGCUCAGAAUCAUUUAUCUCUUGGCGAUUCGAGUGAUUUUGUGAAGGUUCAAGAGGCAAUUUAAUUAGUUUUUGUCUAAUUGAUCAAUGUUAACUUCUUUUGAUUAUGAGUUCCUACAUUUAGGGUUUAAUAUUUUAAACGAAGUUUCACUUCGGUGAUUCAAUGUUCUUAAGUUUAGUGUUUGAUAUGUUAAAACGAAGUUUGAUUUUGGU
rnacentral:lncRNA from 1 species